rnacentral:snRNA from 1 species
GUGCUUGCUUCAGUGGCACAUAUACUAAAAUUGGAAUGAUACAGAGAAGAUUAGCAUGGCUCCUGCACAAAAAAAUAAUAAUACAAGCUUUAUGAGAAAAUUUA